UAGCUCAUCCAAGGCACCGACCGGGUCCUCAUUCAACAGUGACGCCAUCUGCUUGCAGGCUUGCCGUGAUAAUCCAAGAGUAAAGUCCCUUCGAAAAGCACCCCGAGGAAGAAAGAAUUGUCAACAGUAAGCAGAAAGUUGAGGGCAGAAUGAAUCCUGUAAAGAGAGCCUUCUGAGGCCCUCUGACCAGUGUCUGGGGUUCUCACGAGAAGAGCACAUUUUAAGCUUCUAUUACUGUAAAAGGUUGCAGCAGACCUCUGUGUCUCGGGUAUUUCCAGUCUGGCGGUGCAUACAGAUUGUGAAAGUUUUCCCUGGUGUUGGAUAUUAAAGCGAAUUCAGGCCUCCCGAGGGGAUUGGUUCACAAACUCCCUGCAGAUAAUCAAAGCCUCAGUCGCUCAUAUUCUAUAAAAUUGCAAUGUAUCUGCAUAGAAUAUAUUAUAAACAUGUGUAUACA
rnacentral:lncRNA from 1 species